UACGGGGGGGGGCAAGCGUUGUUCGGAAUUACUGGGCGUAAAGGGCUCGUAGGCGGCCAACUAAGUCAGACGUGAAAUCCCUCGGCUUAACCGGGGAACUGCGUCUGAUACUGGAUGGCUUGAGUUUGGGAGAGGGAUGCGGAAUUCCAGGUGUAGCGGUGAAAUGCGUAGAUAUCUGGAGGAACACCGGUGGCGAAGGCGGCCCCCUGGUUGGAUACUGACGCUGAGACGCGAAAGCGUGGGGAGCAAACAGG
rnacentral:rRNA from 1 species